rnacentral:rRNA from 1 species
UACGGGGGGGGCAAGCGUUGUUCGGAAUUACUGGGCGUAAAGGGCGCGUAGGCGGCCUGCUAAGUCGGAUGUGAAAUCCCUCGGCUCAACCGAGGAACUGCAUCCGAUACUGGCGGGCUUGAAUCCGGGAGAGGGAUGUGGAAUUCCAGGUGUAGCGGUGAAAUGCGUAGAGAUCCGGAGGAACACCGACGGCGUAGGCAGCGCCCUGGACGACACCUGACGCUGAGGCACGAAAGCUGGGGGAGCGAACAGG